UCCGAGUUGACCCCGGCAGUUCCCCCAAAGUGCCCAGCUUGACCUGCUGGCAACACGCCACGGGGGUUGCGCUCGUUGCGGGACUUAACCCAACAUCUCACGACACGAGCUGACGACAGCCAUGCAGCAUCUGUGGUGCACCCUCGAAGGUCACACGUUUCCGUGCGCUUGCAGCACAAUGUCAAGCCCAGGUAAGGUUCUUCGCGUUGCAUCGAAUUAAAGAACAUGCUCCGCUGCUUGUGCGGGCCCCCGUCAAUUCUUUUGAGUUUUAGCCUUGCGGCCGUACUCCCCAGGCGGAACACUUAACGCGUUGGCUUCGGCACAGGGGGAUUCGACUCCCCCCACACCUAGUGUUCAUCGUUUACGGCAUGGACUAC
rnacentral:misc_RNA from 1 species